rnacentral:tRNA from 1 species
CAUUUAGUAUCUUAAAUAAAGAAAUGAUUUUUUAAAUCAUUUACAGUAAUUUUAACUUACUCUCAAUGA